rnacentral:rRNA from 1 species
GACGAACGCUGGCGGCGUGCUUAACACAUGCAAGUCGAACGGAAAGGCCCUGCUUUUGUGGGGUGCUCGAGUGGCGAACGGGUGAGUAACACGUGAGUAACCUGCCCUUGACUUUGGGAUAACUUCAGGAAACUGGGGCUAAUACCGGAUAGGAGCUCCUGCUGCAUGGUGGGGGUUGGAAAGUUUCGGCGGUUGGGGAUGGACUCGCGGCUUAUCAGCUUGUUGGUGGGGUAGUGGCUUACCAAGGCUUUGACGGGUAGCCGGCCUGAGAGGGUGACCGGCCACAUUGGGACUGAGAUACGGCCCAGACUCCUACGGGAGGCAGCAGUGGGGAAUAUUGCACAAUGGGCGGAAGCCUAAUGCAGCAACGCCGCGUGCGGGAUGACGGCCUUCGGGUUGUAAACCGCUUUCGCCUGUGACGAAGCGUGAGUGACGGUAAUGGGUAAAGAAGCGCCGGCUAACUACGUG